CCUGUUCGAGCGUCAUUAUGACCACUCAAGCCUAGCUUGGUAUUGGGGUUUCGCGUGCUCGCGACCCUUAAAAUCAGUGGCGGUGCCGUCUGGCUCUAAGCGUAGUAAUUCUCUCGCUACAGAGUCCCGGCGGUGUCUUGCCAAAACCCCAACUUUCUUAGGUUGACCUCGGAUCAGGUAGGGAUACCCGCUGAACUUAA
rnacentral:misc_RNA from 1 species